rnacentral:rRNA from 1 species
GACGAACGCUGGCGGCGUGCUUAACACAUGCAAGUCGAACGGAAAGGCCCUGCUUGCAGGGUACUCGAGUGGCGAACGGGUGAGUAACACGUGGGUGAUCUGCCCUGCACUUCGGGAUAAGCCUGGGAAACUGGGUCUAAUACCGGAUAGGAGCCAUUUUUAGUGUGAUGGUUGGAAAGUUUUUUCGGUGUAGGAUGAGCUCGCGGCCUAUCAGCUUGUUGGUGGGGUAAUGGCCUACCAAGGCGGCGACGGGUAGCCGGCCUGUGAGGGUGGACGGCCACAUUGGGACUGAGAUACGGCCCAGACUCCUACGGGAGGCAGCAGUGGGGAAUAUUGCACAAUGGGCGCAAGCCUGAUGCAGCGACGCCGCGUGGGGGAUGACGGCCUUCGGGUUGUAAACUCCUUUCGCUAGGGACGAAGCUUUUUGUGACGGUACCUAGAUAAGAAGCACCGGCUAACUACGUG